GAAUGAAUUUGGAAAGAUAUUAGAACAAAUUCUAUGAUUAUAUAUGCAGCUUUAUUGGGGAUAUUUUUAUCAAGUAUGGAUUACCAUCAUUUAAAAAUUUAUCAAAUACUAAUCUUUCGUGAUAUUUGUUUUAUUUUCUCUCCGUGAAAAAUAAGCACAAGGGCUGCCAAUUUUUUUACUAUCCUUUUUUAUUUUUUCAUAUCAAAUAUGAUAAUUUGACAUGAAAUUUAUUUUUUUCUGUCAGAUUAUCUCUAACCAAACGAACUCUAAGAAGAGCUGUGACA
rnacentral:lncRNA from 1 species